rnacentral:rRNA from 1 species
GAUGAACGCUGGCGGCGUGCCUAAUACAUGCAAGUCGAGCGAACGGACGAGAAGCUUUCUUCUCUGAUGUUAGCGGCGGACGGGUGAGUAACACGUGGAUAACCUACCUAUAAGACUGGGAUAACUUCGGGAAACCGUAGCUAAUACCGGCUAAUAUUUUGAACCGCAUGGUUCAAAAGUGAAAGACGGUCUUGCUGUCACUUAUAGACGGAUCCGCGCUGCAUUAGCUAGUUGGUAAGGUAACGGCCUACCAAGGCAACGAUGCAUAGCCGACCUGAGAGGGUGAUCGGCCACACUGGAACUGAGACACGGUCCAGACUCCUACGGGAGGCAGCAGUAGGGAAUCUUCCGCAAUGGGCGAAAGCCUGACGGAGCAACGCCGCGUGAGUGAUGAAGGUCUUCGGAUCGUAAAACUCUGUUAUUAGGGAAGAACAUAUGUGUAAGUAACUGUGCACAUCUUGACGGUACCUAAUCAGAAAGCAACGGCUAACUACGUG